GAGCUGACUGAAGAAUGACCAUUGUAUGGCUAACAAUCUUUGACAUUCUAUCAAGUCAGGUAUCUAUUAUCUUGGACCUGAUUUUGCUAUAGUAGGGAGAAGGGAAAAGAGAAGUUGGGUAAGAUGAUAGCGCAUGGUUAGAGAAAAGGCGCACUUACCUGUGGCUCAGUAGCAUGUUGAGUUCAUCCAGGUGCACAGCAUCAGGAAAGACCCCUUGCUGCAAUGAAGGGGACAUUUUGAUUUGUGAUCUGCGGACUUCAGCCCGUCAACAAUGGUCACGGAUGCAGCAGAACAGCAGCACAAGUAGCAAAAUAUGUGACCACAGGAAAGAGAGACUGGAUCAAACACUGUGUCCUGCAAAAGCAAGAAC